rnacentral:rRNA from 1 species
GGGCUUAACGUAGCUUACCAUGCAAGUCGACGGCAGCACGGACUUCGGUCUGGUGGCGAGUGGCGAACGGGUGAGUAAUGUAUCGGAACGUGCCUAGUAGCGGGGGAUAACUACGCGAAAGCGUAGCUAAUACCGCAUACGCCCUACGGGGGAAAGCAGGGGAUCGCAAGACCUUGCACUAUUAGAGCGGCCGAUAUCGGAUUAGCUAGUUGGUGGGGUAAACGGGCUUCACCCAAAGGGCGACGAUUCCCGUAAGGCUGGUUUUGGAGAGGGACGCACCACGCCCACACUGGGGGACUGGAGACCACGGCCCCCAGACUUCCUACGGGGAGGCCAGCCAGUGGGGGAAUUUUGGGAACAAUGGGGGGAAACCCCUGAUCCCAGCCAUCCCCGCGGUGUGCGAUGAAAGGCCUUUCGGGGUUGUAAAAGCACUUUUGGCCAGGAAAGAAAACGUCGCGGGGUUAAUACCCCCGCGGGAACUGACGGUACCUGCAGAAUAAGCACCGGCUAACUACGUGCCCAGCAGCCGCGGUAAUACGUAGGGUGCAAGCGUUAAUCGGAAUUACUGGGCGUAAAGCGUGCGCAGGCGGUUCGGAAAGAAAGAUGUGAAAUCCCAGAGCUUAACUUUGGAACUGCAUUUUUAACUACCGAGCUAGAGUGUGUCAGAGGGAGGUGGAAUUCCGCGUGUAGCAGUGAAAUGCGUAGAUAUGCGGAGGAACACCGAUGGCGAAGGCAGCCUCCUGGGAUAACACUGACGCUCAUGCACGAAAGCGUGGGGAGCAAACAGGAUUAGAUACCCUGGUAGUCCACGCCCUAAACGAUGUCAACUAGCUGUUGGGGCCUUCGGGCCUUGGUAGCGCAGCUAACGCGUGAAGUUGACCGCCUGGGGGAGUACGGUCGCAAGAUUAAAACUCAAAGGGAAUUGACGGGGGACCCGCACAAGCGGUGGGAUGAUGUGGGAUUAAUUCGAUGCAACGCGAAAAAACCUUACCUACCCUUGACAUGUCUGGAAUGCCGAAGAGAUUUGGCAGUGCUCGCAAGAGAACCGGAACACAGGUGCUGCAUGGGCUGUCGUCAGCCUCGUGUCCGUGAAAAUGUUGGGGGUUAAGUCCCCGCAACGAAGCGCCAACCCUUGGUCAUUUAGUUGGCUACGAAAAGGGGCACUCCUAAUGGAGACUGGCCGGGUGACAAAACCGGGAGGAAAGGUGGGGGGAUGAACGUCCAAGUCCCUCAUGGGGGCUUAUGGGUAGGGCUUCACACGUCAUACAAUGGUCGGGACAGAGGGUCGCCAACCCGCGAGGGGGAGCCAAUCCCAGAAACCCGAUCGUAGUCCGGAUCGCAGUCUGCAACUCGACUGCGUGAAGUCGGAAUCGCUAGUAAUCGCGGAUCAGCAUGUCGCGGUGAAUACGUUCCCGGGUCUUGUACACACCGCCCGUCACACCAUGGGAGUGGGUUUUACCAGAAGUAGUUAGCCUAACCGUAAGGAGGGCGAUACCUCGGUAGAUCAAUCUUUUU